CAGCCGCCACGGUAAUACGUAGGUGGCAAGCGUUGUCCGGAAUUAUUGGGCGUAAAGGGCUCGCAGGCGGUUUCUUAAGUCUGAUGUGAAAGCCCCCGGCUCAACCGGGGAGGGUCAUUGGAAACUGGGAAACUUGAGUGCAGAAGAGGAGAGUGGAAUUCCACGUGUAGCGGUGAAAUGCGUAGAGAUGUGGAGGAACACCAGUGGCGAAGGCGACUCUCUGGUCUGUAACUGACGCUGAGGAGCGAAAGCGUGGGGAGCGAACAGGAUUAGAUACCCGGGUAGUCCCUGUCUCUUAUAA
rnacentral:rRNA from 1 species